rnacentral:misc_RNA from 1 species
UUGAUAUAAACAGCAGGACG